rnacentral:rRNA from 1 species
GGGCGCAAGCCUGAUCCAGCCAUGCCGCGUGAAGGAUUAAGGUCCUCUGGAUUGUAAACUUCUUUUAUAAGGGACGAAAAAAGGGAAUUCUUUCUCACUUGACGGUACCUUAUGAAUAAGCACCGGCUAACUCCGUGCCAGCAGCCGCGGUAAUACGGAGGGUGCAAGCGUUAUCCGGAUUCACUGGGUUUAAAGGGUGCGUAGGCGGGUAUUUAAGUCAGUGGUGAAAUCCUAGAGCUUAACUCUAGAACUGCCAUUGAUACUAUUUAUCUUGAAUAUUGUGGAGGUAAGCGGAAUAUGUCAUGUAGCGGUGAAAUGCUUAGAUAUGACAUAGAACACCUAUUGCGAAGGCAGCUUACUACGCAUAUAUUGACGCUGAGGCACGAAAGCGUGGGGAUCAAACAGGAUUAGAUACCCUGGUAGUCCACGCCCUAAACGAUGGAUACUCGACAUACGCGAUACACUGUGUGUGUCUGAGCGAAAGCAUUAAGUAUCCCACCUGGGAAGUACGACCGCAAGGUUGAAC